CAGUCGCCGCGGGAAUACGUAGGUCCCGAGCGUUGUCCGGAUUUAUUGGGCGUAAAGCGAGCGCAGGCGGUUAGAUAAGUCUGAAGUUAAAGGCUGUGGCUUAACCAUAGUACGCUUUGGGAACUGUUUAACUUGAGUGCAAGAGGGGAGAGUGGAAUUCCAUGUGUAGCGGUGAAAUGCGUAGAUAUAUGGAGGAACACCGGUGGCGAAAGCGGCUCUCUGGCUUGUAACUGACGCUGAGGCUCGAAAGCGUGGGGAGCAAACAGGAUUAGAUACCCCGGUAGUCCCUGUCUCUUAUACA
rnacentral:rRNA from 1 species